ensembl:lncRNA
UUUUUUUUUCCUCCCAGGGAAUCGUUUUGCUCCUUCCUUCCACCCUCGCUUUAGGAUUCAUGAGGCAUCGACUUGCGUCCGCCUGUGUAGCAGCCAAUCACUAAUCAGCAUGCUCCUUAUUAACCCAACCGGCUGGUUCGGUAACUUUCUGCCUUUCAGCUUCUAAUAACGAUGACAACAUCCAACUACUCAGCCCCACUGCCAGCAUCAAGACACUACCCAGAAGCAGUAGCAAGAUAGCCAAACUGGGAUUUAUAUUCAGAACUAAUAUAUGCUCAAUCCCAAUAAUCCCUCCUUAAAUCCAGGUGGACCUUCCCAGAAGCCCGAUCCACCGGAUGCCUUAUCAUCAGUAGUUUCCAUGCAGGAAUUGGACCCUGUCCCAGCAGGGUAACAACCACAUAGUCAUGGGUAUGGCCAACAGAUGAUUGUGAUCAUAAGACUCACAAUCAUAGUCAUGGAUCAGAUCACAUGUUUGGAUCAGAAGGAAAAAAGAAAAACUAGCAGCAAAAAGUUGUUUUGCUGCUGGUACUAAUUGUCAUUGAUGAUCCAUUUGCGUGGAUAGAGAUCCUUUUUUCUCCUUUGGUUACAACAACUGGUCUAUGAAGUCAUAGUAAUAGUUGGAGGGUUCUCAUAAAAACAUGUUCAGAUGAUGUAAAAAAAAAAAUCAAACAUAUUUCUAUUUAUUAAAACAACAAAUGUUGUAAUUAGUUAUAUGAUUUUUUAUUAACUUUCACCUAAAACAAACUAUCAGUGACCAUUGUGUAACAUUAUCGGAGAUCAAAGACUAAAAUAGUGUAAACGAUAAAGAUCAGCAGAUAAGGAUGUCAGUAAAACCUAACUUUACACUGGGGUAGUUAACAUUAAACUGUGUAAUGACAUGAUCGGCUGCACCACGAACAAUGACUAAUUUAGACUUCCUUCCUGGGCACCACAGGAAGAAACCACAAUGUCGGCAAACAUAUACACGUUUUUACCAUCAAUGAGAAUUUGUUUUAUUGUUUACUGCAUUCUACGACACCACACAGCUGCUUCAAAAGAAUAGCUCGAGGUUUCGGCCGAUUGUACGGACGAUAGUAAGCAGAUGGCGUAAAGCUUUGACAACAACAUUUCUCAUUGAGCUUCUACCUACUUCUAACAAUGUUUAACAUUUCAUUUCACAUAUUUCCUUUAAGCAUUAAAAAAGCCUGAAUAUCUAACAGAGCAUUCUGAGCUUUGUUAGUAAUCACAGAUGUUGCUGUGUUGAGCUGCUCUGUGUUUUAAGGUCCACUGGUCUGGUUCAAAAUUGCUUUAAUGGCUCCGUUGCCUUAAUUGGAGCUGCGGACCAUUCUUGCAUGUGAUCUAGAACAGACGUUACUGGAAAUGAAAAUGAAUAAAUCAUUUCAUUAUAUGAAAAAAACAACAACAAAAAAAUAAUACUAAUAUUUGAGCAUACGCCACUAAUCUCUCAUGAACGCUCCCCCUAUGGGUCUCUGACUGCCAUAUCUGCUUAACUCUUUGCAACGUCCCUUUUGUGAAUUGACAGCCGGAACAAAGUUCACAGCUAAAUUAGCUCCCUGUGAGGCUUCAAGAUAGAGGAGCAUUAACGAAGCUGGUGGAGAACGAUGGGGAGGAAGAGAUUGGGAGGCGGCGUGCGUACAAAGAGGGCGAGCAAGCCGAAGUCGGUCGAGGAGAGGAUAAACCUGCUUGGAUUGAAACCCAGACAGAAAAAGGGAGAGCGCCGCGGGGGCACAAUAUUUGCCGUAUCGUAAUAGCGUCGCUGGGCUGACUGACAGGAAAGACACGAUGCUUUCCUGUGGGCGUCUGUGGGUGAGUGGGGAGCACGGUCGUCCUCCAAUCAGAGGGUUGUCGGUUCGAUCCCAGGCUUGGCUAACCCGCAUGUCGAUGUGUCCUUGGGCAAGACACUUAACCCAACAUUGCUCCUGUAGCUGCGACUACAGCGUAUGAAUGUUAGUUACUGAUGGGCAGGUGUCACUGUGUGUGGUUCUCGUGUCAUCAGCGUGUGAAUGGGUGUGAAUGGGUGAAUGAUGUCAUGUAGUGUUAAAGCGCUUUGAGUGGUCAGAAGACUAGAAAAGCGCUAUACAAGUACAGUCCAUUUACCAUUUACGAGGGAUGCUUGCGCCCUAACUCGACCUGCUCCUGCUCCUACUUCACGGUAAGCGAUAGUCCCAAAUCCCAGAGCCUGCAGGCCGUCGGGGUGGAUUAGCGAUCCUUCUCUCAAGUUAUUCUCUCUGCUUCGCUCCACAGUGGGGGGUUUUUACCUGCAAGAUGGGAUGAAAGGAGCUUCUGUGGAACCAGACACCUCUCACCCGCCGCAUCUUAUAGUCCCGGGUGCUUGUGCUCUCCACGCCGGGGGGCUUGGGUCUCUCGCCGCCCCCAUGUUGAGUCCCAGCUGACCUGGCCUGUCUCACGGGAUCCACCUCAUGAGUUCCACCCCUCUUUACCUUACCCCCGCCGCCUUUCACUUUCUGACUAACCAGUUGACGUCAACUCUAGCGAGGUGGAGUUUUUGAGUUUCUGUUGUUACCAUUGGCAUUAUUUUUUAUUACGGUUAACUAGUUCCUCCAAAUAUUGGGAGAAACAGGAAGACCCGUCGAUGCCUCAAAGGAUGAAACCAUUUAUAGCCAUAUAUUUCUGUUGAUCACACACACACACACACACACGUAGACAUUUGCUCGCUCCCUCUACACACCCAUCAUGAAUCAGAGGAGUCUUGCCUGAGACCCUGUAAGCUGGAGAUCUCCCCUGGCAGGGAAGGAUUUCACCUCUGGCUGACUUGUACAUAUUUAACUUCCCACAUGAGGGGAUCUGGUUUGAAAUACGGUCUUCUACAUUCACUGGAAGCACAAAGUAGAAUCAGAGGAUUGAAAAGUUUGAAACAUGAUUUGAUGUGAAAUUCUAGUUCAAAUGAAUAGCGCUUAAAAAAGUCGAGGCGGUGUUUGGCUCGGAGCUUAAUCUCUGGAUGUUUCAUAUUCAUUCUUGGAAAGAAAACAAUUAACUGAAGUGGAUCAUUUAGCAUAGCAAGUGGAUCUAGGACAAGGCUGUAAACAUUAUUGAUGUUGACAAGAGACUACAAUUGCAGCUGUUCUUUAAAAUAUGCCGUGUGUAAUUUAUUUUACGUAUGUGCUUUUAGAACUGAGUAGGUGUUUUCAAAUGAUGUCUAAUUUUGAAGAACGAUAACAAAAAAACCUCAACUGUCAGCCAUUUGUCUUGGGUGGUGCGAGGACUGUUGGCGCCUGGGGAAAUAUUACAACAUCUACAGUACGUGUCGGGACUUCAAAAACAGGAAUUCCUCUGAUAUAAAGUGGAUGUGUCAGCACCAAUGUCACAGGAAAAAUAAUAGUUUUGUCACCUUUGAAUUUCUUAAAAAUGAAGGAUGGAGAAUAGCUUCUAUAGCAUGUGGAUGUUGUUUAUGUUUGACCACUGUGUCUCUGCUUACUUUUGUCCUGUAAUUCUAAAUCCUUUAUCUCUAUACAAAUCUCUUUUUAUUUAACAUUGUUAAAUUGUCUGUGUGCACAUUCUACUUCCCGAAUCUUAAUUCUGAUUGACAUCUUUACAUUUAGUAGACCUUUAUUCAUACUUUUGUGUACCCUCCUGUUCUAUUCUGCUACAAUUUGCGCCUGGUAGCAUUUUACAGUUAAUAAAAACAUGUUAGAUAUUUACCCGUUAUCUUGACAAAUUCAGGAAUACAAAUGCAACUAGCAGUCGGAUUCACUUGAUUCCAAUCUACUAAAAUUGCUUUAUCGCUGUUAGAUAAAUAAACACAGAUGCUUGACAUGAGAACCUUUCAAGUGAGUCAAGAUGCAAAUUCCCUCCUUUAGUUUAAGAUGUUAUUGUGAAACAUCCACACAAUGUGUCGGGUGGCACUUGCAGAAUCUUUAAUAAAACUGAAAGGUAGAAGGAAUUGAAAUGAAAUAUGCAUAAAAUUUGUUUAAAGAAAUACUUUUCUUCAAAAAUAGAUGAGUACAAUAUGACUAUUGUUGUACUGGUGGAUUUAAGCAUUAUGCUGAAUUUAGCCUGUGAGAAAAUGUUUUACAGCUAAUGGCUCACUUUUUGUUCUUGUCACCUGGUACUGACCAGUGACCAGUCUUAAUUUGUUCAUACCAGUAGCUGGGUUUCUGUACCCAGUGAUUUGGAGACGUGUGAACCUAGCGGCUCCCACACUGUUGGUCUGGCCGCCCUUCUGCAAAUCCAAUCGCAUGGCUUCCCUGAAACAGAACUUCAUACAUACAUUUUAUACGGCAAAGCCUCAAAUGUGCUUUAGAGCUCAAUUUCAACGUAGUUUCACCACGACUGAAGCAAUUUAACCUCGGUGUCGCACUCACAGCCAAAAAUGUGCAAGGCCUGAAACGGCGUUCCCUCGCUGAUAAACACACACUUGUGUUUGGUUAUGUUUAGUCAUGAUUUAUUGCACACUCCAUAAACAGGCGAUUCAAUGAGCCCAAAAUAUUACAAACACUGUCAGGAUUGUGUAAGAGCGAACUCUUUGACACACGCACACGAGGGCAUGCGCACACCCGCACGCACUAGAAGUAGACGCACGCUCCCAUGUACCAUUUCCUGUGCAUGAGACACACGGCCACAGUCAAUGAUGCCACGCUGCCGGCGCACUAAGAUCAAUCGAUAUGGAACACAAUGCAGCGCGUACUGUAUUUAUCAUGCGCACAUUUUUGUGUGGGACAUUGACUAAAACAAGUACACGUGUGUCAGAGUAUCAGUCCGUCAAUACAAACCAUUAACAUGGCAAAAGGAUGACGGGGGUGAGAUGAGGUCACCGUCUGCCCUUUAAUAAGAGCAGUCAUCGGAGGGUCAAUCUGCUUACCGCCCGAAUGAAGUUAUGGCCAUGAGUGAUGAAGGCGAUGUUGGAAAUGAUCCUGGGAGGAGGGGGGGGGGGGUAUCAGGGUCGGCCUGCUGUCGCUACUACGAUGCUGCUGCAGGCAGUUCAUGGACGCAAAGACGUACUGUUGGAUUUAUAGUUUUGUAGCACAGACCACACAUUCACAGACAUUAUAUCAGAAAAGUCCACUGUUUGAGAGUCCAAAUUCAUCAAGAAAAUACAGUAAUUUCCCCUUAAAGAAGAACAUGAAAAAUACAGGCAUUAUUCAAAUGCAUUAAUUUAUUCAUUUUCAUUAUUUAUGCACAUAGCAUGGACCACUACUCAGUGGAGAUGUAGGAUGCUGAACGUCUUUAAUCACAGUGGAGAUUAAAAAAUGAGAAUAAAGUAAAUUAAACAGCACUCCACUGUGUUGCUUCAACUCUCGAUAUGAAUUGCUUGAGUGUGAAAGUAGAAAACCGACAUGGUGUUGCGUGUUUCUCCAAUUGGACGCCGUGUCGAGUCUUUAUCAAACAAGAGAAAGACACAUACACUUUCUACAAAAAUCAUAAUAUUCCCCAUAGGGUUUGUGUGUGUGAGGAAUGAGGUAAGAGGCUGCUGUGCUGCGGACUGAGACGGAGGGCAUUAGUCAGAUUUGACCAACAAAGGGGCUGUGAGCACACAGCCAGGGGAUUAGACCAACACCACAGACUUUCAUUAGUCUACAGAGGGGAAGAGGAAAAGAAAGAGCAACAGAAAGGUGGAGGCAAGGAGACACUGGAUUACAAAGAUAGCGGAGGGGAAGGGGGGGGGACUUCCAUUAGUGGAGGGUGAGAGGGAAAUCUAAAGAUGCAGGAUGAGCGGUGAGAUACGGAGGAAUGAAGCGAGGGAGACACUGAGAACACUCCACCACUGGAUUAGUCCAAUAACAGGGACUUUCAUUAAAUACAGGAGAUGGAUGGAGAGGGGAAAUAACAAGGGUCAGAGGGAGAAGCAAAUAAAAUGGGGGGGGGGGGUGCAGGGCAUGGAAAGGGAGAGAAAGUAAUAGAGGGGGAAGAUUAAAAAAAAGGGACAAAAGGGGAGGAACAGGCAGAGAGGGGACAAAACGCAAACAUGGUGAAAGACAAAGCCAAAAGAAGUGGAGAAAGGGGCAAAGAAAACAGAAAGAAUCGGGGGGGUGGCAGUGGUGUAGAACAACAAGUAAAGAGGAUUAAACCCCCCACUGCACCUCCAGCACACACACACACACACACACACACACAGACACACACACACACACACACACACAGACACAGACACAGACAGACACACAGACAGACACACACAGGUCCUGGGAAGAAGGCUGGCGUGCCAAACUAAUUAGCUACUAACUCAACCACAGCUCACACAGGCGAACUGCAUCAUUUACAAUAGAGACCCAGGCCGGGUCCCAGAGGUGUGUGUGUGUGUGUGUGUGUGCGUGUGUGCAGGCUGCAAAUCCAUAUCAUUAUGUUUGUACGGCUGUGACCGUGUGCGGUUGUAUCCGUGUGUGCGAACACUUUCAAUAAGACCAUGACGAAUUAAACUUCGCCACUCGGCGAGACCAACCGGGCAAUUUCUUAUAUUACUUUUUGAGCCUAAUUUCCAACAGCUGCAGCAGCGCUCUCAUAAAAUUCAUGGCAUAAUUGUUUUGGAUGAAUGAAUAAUUACAAGGUCAAUAAAAGGUCGGAGCAUGGAGAAAAGUCUGUUUUCCAGGGACCAAAAAGGGAAAUCGUCAAGUGCUCAUUUGUCCAAGGAACAGGCCAACGUCACAGAACUACUUAUUUUUUUAGAGCAGAAGUAAUCAAUUACCUUAAUAAAGAGCUGUAAUGGCAUAAUCAUGACAUUAAAAGUGUCAUCAUUCUACAGUAGAAUCUGACAUUUUGAAAGAAGGGAUCAUUGAAUAUCAAUACUUCAAUACGCCAAACAAUGGCUUGAUGGUUGUGUCUCAUUGAGCAGAGUCGUCCUUUCACGACAAAGUUAGCGGUUAUAUAUUAUAACCCGCCCCGGCUCCUUCUGUCCGCGGGUAAAAGGGUCUUUGAGCAAAUCACACAACCAUUAGUUUCUCACAAAAAAUGGUUGAGACGGGAUGAGUAUCUGUUUCCAUUCAUUCUCAUACAUCAGAACAUUUAAAAAUCAUAUUUCAUUUACAGCUAUUUUUUUCAACCAGAUGACAACAUCUGCAUCCGAUUGCUCCAAUCUCAAGCUCCAAUUGGCCGACAUAUUCUGGUCAGUUUCAUACUCACUUCAAUCCUUUCCUUUUUUCCCCUUUAGGCAGUGAAAUAUCCUAUCGAUGAAGUGGCAUCUGAUUUGAGGCGCUCAAUGAGAAUUGUGACGCGCGCAUCAACUUACACACAAUAGACCUAUUUCACACACGAGAUCGUGAGGAGAUAUCAGAGUACAAUAUGAACUAUAAAUUGACUUUGAACACACUAUUGAGCAUGUAGUUUACAAUUCCUCUUUCCUGUCCGCAUAUAAAAAUAAACCUUAUCUGAACCUCGCAUCAUAGUUCGACUAACAUGUUUGAUUACCCGAACCGUCUUGUGGAUUUACAACUUUAUAACAAAGGCCUAAGUGGGAAAGAAGGACACCGUUUCAAUGAACCCGAUUUAAUUCAUCGCAGCAGAGUGAGACAGUCGCCCACUGAUGAGUCACAACACGUUGCUCCUUAAUACCUCCUCUUGCUUGAGUAGCACUGACAAAGCUGUCAGUGUAUAUCGCAAAAUUCUAUAACAGAUUGUCAGCGAACAAGAGGAGCACAUCAUUAGGUUGGCUUUCCAUUCAGUUUCUUUCCUUCAAACGGCCUUUUUAGUGAAACAAGGGACAACACAUUCUCACCCAAAUGCCUCAAAUACAGUAAUUCAAACUACGCUCCAUGCUGUGGCUCCCCACUUAAACCUGCAGAUGUGGACACGUCAUGGGCGGCGUGUCAGUCCACGCUUGACGUUGGCCCAACUACCACUGCGGGUGGGGAGUUAAAGCUAAAGACGUAGCACGAGAGAAGGAUGAGGCGCUUUCCUCACCGCACACCUUUUCAACAUUCACGAGUACAAUUCAGAAACAAACCUUCUUCACAAACGGUGUAACCGUGUCAAGGCUUUUAAUUCUACUGCAGUGAACCUUUCAAUGUGUCCAACUUGCAUACGCAACAAAAUUAUAUUUGCUGCAUUGCAACAGUCGUCUACGACACCGGCCUCUAUGUUUCUCUCUUUCAUGGCCCUUUGUUGUUAUGGUAAGUAAUUGACUUCAUGUCAAAGGUUGUAAAUCCCAUUCGAACCAGCAGUGUUUUGCAUAAAAAAAACAACUAUCCCCCAGCUUCAAGAUCAUUCACAGAAAACACAACGCAGAAUCAACAGCAUUGCGUCUGUAGUCUAAUUUUUCAGGUCAGGACGUGUUCAGAUCAGAGUGAACACGUCCAUCUAAUGAUGUUGACUAGAUUGUCUUCAGCGAUUUCAUGAGGUGACGGCUGACUUUCACAAAAUGUCAUCUGAUCCCGAGUAGAAACUCCUGCUGACAAUCGUUCACGCAUGCUUUGUCAGGAUGGCGCGCUGAGCUCACAGCCCUCGGGUAUCAGCGCCAGAACAGAUGCUGUCUUUUGUGGCGUGUCAUCAAAGUAAAUUGUUCCCAUUAGUCAGACUAUAUUUUGCUUUUAAUUACAUUUUUUUUCCAUGGUGCUGAUAGGUUACAUGUAACGAUCUUGGCCUGGGGAACCAAAUAAACCACAGCAAAGAUUACGCUGUAUUCCAUGAACAUUAAUUGGAGGAAAAAUCCCCUUAUGUCAAGUUGUUAAAAUAAUUUACCAGCCAGAGAGUAAUUGACUGACUGAUAUUAUUAACUACAUAAAGUACAAAUGUUGAGUUAAACUUAAGUUAAUGAAUCCAAAUAACACAAUAAUGAAACUAAUUAGCCUAUUUGGGGAUUGUUUUCAGUUUGCCGAAAGCACCACCGAGCAGACAAAAUGGGACUUUAAUUCAAAACUUCUUUGUUUGUUUUUCAUUGUUUGGAGCACACCUUUCAUCCACUGUGCAUGUGAUGCCAAGGUAACGUAGCAGUGCACUACUGUUCUGAGGAUCUGAAUGCACCGCCAGAUGUUGCCUUUGUCAUAAUGUGUUUUUAAUCACCAUUCCUAAAGUCAGAUGCCAGCAGGCAGCUUCCAAUCCGCCUUGCAUCACUUGCUUCCCCUCAUCUCUCCUUAACAGCUGAGAGGGCUACGGGCAUCAAUCAUUGUUAACUAGCCGCACUGUCAAACAUUUCCUACACCAACUUCUGGGACCCCAAAGUCGCGUGUGAGCAACAGGGACACGAGGGACUUUACCCAGUAUACAGUAAUAAAUACAGUACAUGUAUACUGCACUUAAACAGUCAGUUCACAAUCUUUGGUUUUCUCCUUUUCAGGCAGCAUCACAGGCUUUUAAUCUGGACUUCUCGGGUUCUUGUAGUGUGCAUUUGAUGGGUGCUUUGCAGGAUCCAUAUGGCAUUCUGUUGAGCGAGAGUCCAUUAUAGCAGACGAAGCAGUCUCUGUUAUCUCUCUUUCCUUUUGUCUUUUAAACAUGGGGCUGGAACUACAAAGAGAUGCCGUGUUAUUUCAAUCAUACGGAGCGUCAUCAGACCGAUCCUUGGUAAUAUACAAUCGCACAUAGAGGGCAGUCGAGAAUACCAACUGGAUUCCAGUCAUUUGAGGAGGCAUCUCGUUCUUCAAGGUACACAUAGCAAAGCCUGACGGUGCCCUGGUGGCUGUACUAUAUGUGUGGAGAAGAAAAAAUUCAACAAAUAGAUACACUAGAUAGUUAAAGGUCAUAUAGCGUACGCGCUGCAGGGUACCGCCUUUAAUGGUAUUCUUGAUCGGUUUAAUCAACAUAACACCGCAAGUGGGUGUUGCACUUGAUAGAUUAGUCUGGGAAACAGGCAGAUGUUGCAAAAAGAUAAACAUAUGGAGACAUCCAUAUAAACAUUAAACCACUGUGAUGGUCUUAUAGGUAUAAUCAACCUCCAAGGAGAUCAAAAUGUCCCUAAAAAGACAAAUACUGACCAAAACAUGUCCCUGCAGCUCUCAUCUCGGCUCUCUCUUUGGUUCACAUCCUCUGCUGGACACUUGUUCAAUGAUUUUCCCAUUCUAGUCGAUAUCCAUUCAAUACAGUCUUCCAUGGACUUUCUUUCUCACAGCAAUGCUAUUGACUUGAACCCAGAAAAGCAUUUUCUUCCUCUCUCUUUCAUAAGAUUCUCUGCUUUUGGGACCAUACAAUGGUUCUUGUAAUUCCUUCUGAGCUUUUUCUGCAAAAGAAUGUUUUAUUCACUAAAUGACCAUUUGAAUGUCUAUCACUCACUGCAUGAUACGUUGAAAAAUUUAAAGCUUUGUUCUUCUCGCACACUUCCACGUUUGAAUGUAGAAUUUUAGAAGUCGUGAUGAGCUGAAGUAAAACCAUAUCAAGACAUCUGCUCACACACCUCGCGCCGUUUAAUCAUAUUCCCAUUUAUCCCACUGAAUGUAUACAAAUGGCAUUCCUUAAAGUCCAAAAUUAAGAAUUGAAUCUUUUUUGACCAAUCAUAGGUUUUGUGUAUUAAACUAUGCGUUACAUUUUGUUAAUCAUUGAAAAUAUCGAUGACUAUCGCGGAGGAGAUGAAAUAGUGUGUGGACGGCUGAAUUCACAGGUGAAACGGUUCUCGAGAUUCUAAUUGCUGCCAGUUUUAAUUGAAUAGAAUAAGAAAGAUGCAAACCAUAUGUGUGAACUCUUUAAUGUUUGCCGGUUUUCCUCUUUCUGCUACAUGUGCACUGCCACUAAUUGGGCUAAAGUCAUUUGAAGAAGCUGCCUAUGCUUUCCUAAAACACUCAACCACUGUGGAAAGUGCUGGUUACUAUCGGAAAAGAACGGCUUUAGAAAAGUACCUUUUGUCCAUGGGGAGUUGGUAGGUGCGUUUUGGUGAAGUAAACUUCUUGGUAGUAGCUUAGAACACAAGCUCUAGACGGGGGCCCUGUAAGACCCGUCAUCUUCCAACAAGGCUCAUUUCACGGUGCCACCACCACGACACCAACCAACAAACCCACCCCCCCACCCACCCUCGUCUCCCGGAGUCCCUCUGAUCAGGGACACGCGUGAUCUCCGGCACCCUGUGUGCGCCGCGAGAACCACCCGAUUGUGUUCUCCCUUCUUCCCAUUCUCUCAUCUGUGUUAAUUACUGUAACAAUGUCCCACUUACCACCCCUUCUCUUCUCUCACUUUGUCCUCCCUCCUUCCCUCUGCUUCUCUUCACAUUUCUGGCAUAGUGCUCCGGUAUUUUUUCUUACCCCCCCCCUCCCCUUCACUGGCCUGUUCAAAGGUAAGAGGCCGUCGGCAGAACUUCAGUGGGAGAACUACACGACGAUCAGACAUGUCAGCACCUCCAUCGCACAUACACACACGUGCGUCAGCACAUCAAGCACACGUGCACAUGCACGCAUGCACAUGUCAGCACCUACAACUCUCGCAGAGAAACACACACACACACACACACACCAAGGUCCACAUGUCAUUAGGGAGGUCCACAUGGCUCAAAUAAAAGCCUGUCCAGCAGGAAGGGAGCAGGGCAAAGAGGAAGGAGGGAGGAGGGGGGGAGUGCCAGAAGCAGAGAUGGAGACAGGGUGGGAGAAGGUGGAGGUGAAGAAGGAAUCAUGCAAGCGGCGAGGGAGGUAAGGACAGAGAGGAGGCAAAAAGUCAGAGAGAUGAGAAGGGAUGUACAAAGCAGGAGGGUUUACUAGCCACCUCAGUGUUCCUCCUAGCCACCUCAGGGUUCCUACUAGCCACAUCAGUGUUCCUACUAGCCACCUUAAGGUUCCUCCUAGCCACCUCAGUGUUUCUACUACCCACCUUAAGGUUCCUAAUAGCCACCUUAAGGUUCCUAAUAGCCACCUCAGGGUUCCUACUACCCACCUUAAGGUUCCUAAUAGCCACCUUAAGGUUCCUAAUAGCCACCUUAAGGUUCCUACUAGCCACAUCAGUGUUCCUACUAGCCACCUUAAGGUUCCUACUAGCCACCUCAGGAUUCCUACUACCCACCUUAAGGUUCCUACUAGCCAUAUCAGUGUUCCUACUAGCCACCUCAGUGUUCCUACUACCAACCUUAAGGUUCCUACUUGCCACCUCAGGGUUCCUACUACCCACCUUAAGGUUCCUACUUGCCACCUCAGUGUUCCUACUAGCCACCUUAAGGUUCCUACUUGCCACCACAGGGUUCCUACUUCCCACCUUACGGUUCCUUUGGCCAUUACUGAAGUCACGCUGUGUGUGACUGAGUGAGUGUGUGUUCACUAAAUCACUUCUUCCUGUUCAGCUCUGUGCCUGUUUUUAAUGGCACUGCUCCAACACCAUUUAACAUAUACUACCUGUGGUCAAGCUGAUUUCCUUCCUCCUUUCCUUUCUUUCUUCCAUCCUCACACCCUUCAGUUGCUUGUCAUCCCUUCAUUAUUUUCACUUUCUCACACAAGCUUCCUUUGCUCACUUGUUAUCAUGAUCCUUCUCGUCCCCAUGAUCCACUUUCUGUUUCCAACUAAGUUUCUGCUCCAAAGUUGCAUGACUAGUUGGAGACAGAGGGACAAAUGUAAGUCAUUUAAGAGAUGGAAGGGAAGUUGAAGAGAAGAUAAGUGAAUAGGAAGGAGGAAGGAGGAGUUUUUGGUUAGAUGGAGAUUAUAAAGAGAUGCGGAGAGGGAGAAAUCAUGGCAUGAGAAGGCAGAGAGAGAGACAGAGGGGAGCAGAAAUGGCCUGGAGAGUGAAAGCAAUAAUAUAGAGGAAGAGGGGGUGGUGGAUCACAGGGAGACAAAAACUAUAGGAGAGUGGAGUGCUGAUAACACAAAGAGCAGAGAAAGCGAAGGGUUGGGAUAGAAAAAAAAAAAGGCAGCGACGAGAGGAGAGGCUGAGUAGGAGAAGAGUCUAUAGUCGGAUCAAUGGAUGCCCUGUCCUCUGCAAUGUCUCUGCAUUUCCUCCGGCUUACACAAUAAGGCCCUCUCACUGCACCAGGGAGAGAGUGUGUGGGGGUGUGUGUGUGUGUAUAAGUGCAUGUGUGUGGAAAGAAGGGAAUGACAUUCAGGGGGGGGAUAUGACCCCUUUGAACCCUAGUCUUUUCUUAAUAUUAGAGGUCAAUGGUCGGUGUUCUGACGGAUAUUUAACUCGCUGGUUGCUCACAGGGCACCGUGGACGGGCAUUUGAUCCCUAGAGGAGGCCUCUCUCUCCGUCUGCGUGAAUGCGCAUUGGUUUUUAUCUGAUGACGGUGUGUUAAAGUGUGUUACCAAUGCUGUAUGGACUUAACACUGCUGUUUUGCCUUCAACUUCUGGGACAUGGAACGGGACCCAGCCAGAACAUAAAAUAAAAAAAAGUGCGUAAUGAAAAUUUUGUGAACGUUCCAAUUAGUUCUGAUUAAUAAAUCAUUAAGCUAUAUUAAAGUAGUAAAAGAAAUCCGCUGCGGAUGUUGAUCCAACCAACUACAGAAAAUACAAAGUACCUGAAAAAUAACUGCGUUAAUUGACCAACCAUUUCCGUACUAAUGGAUAGGAAGCUAAAUGGAUGCAGAGAUGAAGAUUAAGAUUCUGCUUGAGUGAGAACACAACUGCAAUUUGGAGGACUUAAUGAGCAACAGCAAUCUCUGCACACUGUGACAAACACUGGAAAGGAGGCCAGAGUGGGCCAAACGCAUUAUAAACAGGAGUAAUGCAGCCUCAGCAUGUAUAGUGUAGGUGUGUCAAUAAUACCAUAUCAGCUCUUUGCUUCCCCCUCCCGUCAAGAUUAACUGGUAAUUGAUUGGUGAGCGAUGCUGCCCCUUUUGUACAUUACUUCAAAGUGUUGGAGUUUGUCCUAAAUGUAUAAAAUAGACUGAAGAAGAGUAAUACUUAAUAUUCUUUCUCUCUCUCUUACCCUCUUCCCUCUCUCUAUUACGUUCUCCCUCUCCACUCUCUCCUGGGUGUCCUGUUCUUCUCCUCUCUCUUUCUCGCUCUAACCUCAGCCAGGCCUUCAGUGAUGCUUUCAGUUUAUUUUUAGAGACAAGUGAUUUGCCCAGCGGACCGACGGCAGACUGCUCGCAGGUUACAAGGGCACGAUGGAGCAAGGCCACAGUGUGCCCUUAGACCUGUACUAAAGGGGGGGUUUCAGCUCACCAGGGCGUGUGUGUUUGUGUGUAAGGGGGGAAAGAGAAGGCGAGACGGGGUGAGACAGUGGCUGACGAGGCCUGUGCAUGUGUGUCCUCCAGCAGCCAUGAUGCAUUAGUGUAACCUGAUGCCUCUCCUCCCCUGUGAGCCCUAACCUUGAGACAAACAGAGAGAUGGAUGCAGGUUGCAGAGCCAUGUUCUGUUGUAAAUGAGGCUGUUGGUCUUCAUAACUAGAUGUGUCUAAUCCUAGACAGGCAUGUAAGACUGAUAGUGCUGUUAGGUAUGAGAAGGGCUGGUUGCAGUGAUCUGCUAUUAUUCCAUUUCUGAGCCUUUUUUUCCUGGUAUAUAAUAAAACAAGUGAGCGUUGAGCGGUGUCAUCUCAUUUUAUCAUUUAAUCUUUAUAUAACGAUUUCAAAUUCAAUUUACUUUAUUUACCAAAGGAAAACAGAUAUGUCAAAUGUUGUGCUAAGUCAUUAAAAUAAGCCAAAAAGGUAAAACAUUGGCGAAAUGUGGAUCUAAAAGAUUCGAUAAAAAAUGUUUAGAAAGAAAAUUAGAUUUUCUUUGCGUUUGAUACGGUUUCAGAUACGGCUCAUAGUUUAUAAUAUACAUAUACACAAUUUAACAAGUGCUGCAUUUGACACACAGACAUUUAAGGGUUUAAUCAAUGCGCAAUUGAAAGGAUUACCUUUAUUUAUUGUGCACUUUUUAAAGCAGAGCACCCAAAACCAACCCUGGCAUUGUCCUUUCAGGAAAAUAUGGGCUAUGCCCAAACUUAAAACAUGUGGGUUUUCAUAAUUUUUGCACCCAUCAUACGAAAUUAUCAUUACCUGUUUGGACCCCUGCACAGUGACUCGCCAACCAGCAUGAGAAAACCAUUCUGUAAAUUCUGUAUUCAAGGCAUAAAAAGCCUAUCACCCUUUACCGAUCACGCUACAAACCAGAUGAAGCAUUAGUGGGAGAAGAGAUGUUUCGUUCCAUCCCUUUGCUUCACUGUGAAAAACGGUGUUAUGCCUCGGAGUCAUUUCUUUUAUGAAGGAACCUACAGGGUCAUUAUGGGCCCAAGUAUAAGGAAACUCACAAUUGAAAUUCUUCAUCUGGAAUACAUUUAUUAAUAAUGGGGUAUUAUUCUCCAUCCUAUUCCCCUACAUUAAAUAAUACUAUUCCCAGGGCCCAUUAAGAAACUUAAUCAUCGGGGGGUGAAAUAUAUUGCGGAAAGAUGAUUACAGCUGAUGAUAUUCACAGAUAAGUCAAAGAUGAUCACAAGAUGUGGUCUUUUCUUUCUAGUUCUUUCCCCCUUUUCUUUUACUUGCACGGGUUUCUUCGGCACCCGACAGGUUCCUGUCUUACUGCGAUCUGUCUUCUCAGAAGAAGAAAGAGAAGACGAUAAAAAGAUGUGAUACGGGAAUUUGAAAAAGAAAAAAGACAAAAAGGUAUAAAAAUAGCCAUCCGUGAGGCAGAAGUGUAAAUCAUUCACAGACGUACCGGCGUAGGGUCAUCAAGGUUUAAAUAUUCAUUAUGGGUGUCAAGGCAAGGCUUUUAGAUCUUGUGGGAUACAGUUUCGUUUGCCCCCCUCAUUUCAUGUUUAUGUCAACUGAAUUAUGCAUCAAGACCAAUGUUAUAAAUACUCUUAGUUUUGUUUUUUUGUGCUGGAGCUUCUGCAUGAAACAAACACGGCCAGAGAUCAAACUUUGAAUCCCACUGGAGUCGAAAGAAGUUAAAGUGUGUGGACUCGGGGCGCAGUGAGGCUCGCUGGGAGAAAACAUGCUCUGAACAGCCGAUAUUCAUUCUCUAUUACUGCAUGCGCAGGGAAUACGAAGAAGUACACAUGCGGGCAUUUGCAUCCUGCACGCUGCACAGCGAUUGGCUGUCUGGCACUUCAACAGGACACCUGACAUUUUGAUGGACACAUUUUGAAGGAUCAAAUUUGUGAGUUUUUGGCAACGGGACAAUUUCUCUCUUGAAUCUAACAAGUUGAAGCUCUCUUCCUCGGAGCCCAGCAGUCACUUUUGAGACCGUUUUGUUAUAUUUGAAAUAUAUUGUACAUCUUGCAUGUUUUGGCCUCUUUAAAGUGCAAGCUUUUAAUUAGCGGCACAUCUCGCCAAACCCUCGACUACUCCUUUAAGUCCAACUCCCUACUUUAUGAUAGCGUAAUCAUUUUGAAUUCUAAUUGAAUACACGUGAUGAACAAGUCACAGCGCACGCCGUACCACUGCUGCCCUCCAAUGCAAAACAACGCGAGCCCGGUAGCCCCCCGUGUGCUCUACAUGAAUGUGUCUCCAUACCCUUGUGGAGAACCCAGAGAGGGAGCCAAAACGUAACGUGUAUCUUGUUUCUCAUCCCAUUAUAAUGUUAAGUUCCCCCUCUCUUUAGCUGUAACAAGUACUGCGCUCCCUGUAGACCAGCAGCUUCCCUUUUCCUCACCUCCUCUUUCCCUGUCUUCAUUUUCUUUCCACCUGCAUUAUAUCUUCACCCUCUCUGUUUUUCCCGUCUCCCUUGCAUCGGUUAAUUUAUCACCAGCCAAAUCUGCUCUCCGUUUCCAUCUCCAUACAUUUCCUGUGGCUGCCCUUCUUCCCAGCCACCUCACCCCCUCUUUCCCUUUGUCUCUUCCUCUUCCUCUUCCCUUUCUCUAUUACGUUCUCGUUCACCACUCUCUUCUGGGUGCCCCCCCCCUCUCUCUCUCUCUCUGUGUCUCUGGGAGUAGCAGACCUCCUGACGGCUUAGUAUUGAUCCUUCAAUCUCCCUCACAUGCUCCCUCUCCCUCCGCCUCGCACACAUACACGUGCAUUAGGGUGACAAGAUAAAAGGGUUUGUAUGCCCCAAGGCACAGGCAGCUAAACAUGAGACCAGAGGCUCUCAGCCUGCAGGACAUGUAUGAAAAACAGAGACCCUUAAGAAACCCAAGGCUUUUUCCAAAUCUCUGACAGGAAACCGUUGGUAAAUUACCAUUAGAUUUAUUUACAACAAGCUUAUUUUAUCUGCAAGUCGAGCCCGGAUCUUGCUGGAACAACAUAAAUCUUGUAGAAUUGCGAUGUUGGAAACAUUUUUCAGCGGGUGCCUCAGAGAGCUUAAGGCAACCAGCACGCUCCAGCCUCCGUGAAGGAAUAUUUCCAGAUAAUAAUGUUAUUUAUAAUCUUUGCCCCGGGGUGGGGUGUACUUGACUCAAACUGAAAUAAGUUCCUUGUUUUUCUAUAAAGAGCUGUUCAAGCAAAGCUGAAGAUUGUGUUUAGGGGGUCAGUCGGUAAUACAUUUAAAAAUGAAUUGGAAGUGAUAAAGUUGCUUCUGUUUGCAUGAUCUUCACUCGGAGUCUAGUUCCGAAUGGCUUACGUUGAAAAGGUACGCAAAGCGUGGAGGGAAUCAAAUUAAAACAGGGAGGCAAAGCCGCCUUGUAGCGGAGCCGCACAACUUUUAGAGUUGAAGACAAAUGGUAAAAGUUUACCCGAGUUUUAUGUUCUGCUGAAUACAGUUAAGAACACAUUCAUUACUUUUACUUCACUCCUCCAGGAUUGAGGAAUAAAUUUGUUUAUGCAAUGUAUUUAUUUUCUCCGAAAUGAGGUGAUGGAUGCAAAGAGUAUCCGUAUUGAAACCGAUAUCACUGAGGAUAUUGGUUACAAUACUAAAACAACUAUGAAUUUAAACAAACAAAAUAAAUAGUGUAAACUCAAUAAAUAUAUAAAAGCAUUACAAGUUAUUAUGUUGCAACCAAAUUGUCUCUUGAAAUCGGUUUACUCUCAUUCCAGCUGCAAUGCUCAGAAUAUGUGUAUGGAGCUUUUGUUCGAAGCACCAGAGUGACCAUAGCAGAUGGGAAUACAACUCCUCGCCAUGGCGACUGCGCUCCAAAAACUAACAAGGGCUUGUCAGGAAUCAAUACCUGGCAUGAAAAACGAUGUGACUUUCAGCUGCUGUGGCCACAUCAAUCAAGCCAUUACCAUUAGCUCAUCUCUCGACACCGACUUGGACUUCUCUCCGCUGCCCCUCCCAUCCACUCUGCGCUCCUAUGUCACCGUUUUCCCCUCCUCCCCCCCUUGCCUCUCCCCCCCUUCCCUCUCCCCCUGCCAGCUCAGCGGAUGCCCCUUGUCGCAGCUCCUAUUUCAGCCUUCUGAAGUUUCAUAAUUGAUCGCAAUUAGAGCUGCUACAGAGAGAAAGAGAGAGAGAGGGGCAGGCAAACAGAAACUGAGAGAGAAAGUCUGUUUGUGUGUGUGUGUGUGUGUGUGUGUGUGUGUGUGUGUGUGUGUGUGUGUGUGUGUCUAUAACAGAGAGAAAGAGAGAGAGGGAUUAAAAUCAAUGAGCCUGUUUUGAGAGUGGUUAUAUUAGCAACUGCACUAGAUCUGACCAGAGACUGUAGAGGUAAUAACACUGCGAUGGGGGGAGCGACAAGACAAAGAGAGCCACAGAGGAACGGUGAGUCACUGCUGACGGGAGGAAGUCAAGUGACACUAAAUAAAAAUUAAAAAAACAUUGAAAGACACACUGGAUAUUAUAGGGGAACCUCCUGAUUGAGGAACAAAUCGGUUGUUUUUAGUUCUCAGUCGACUCCGUGUUUGGUGCUUGGUGGUCAAGGAGAGGGACACGUGGUUUCACAGAUUUCCAGUGAAGCUUCUGUGUGAUUGUAAGAGAUACUCAAGGUUCACAGAUCUGUCGAUUUAAAUCAGCUAAUUGAUUAGUCAACAAACUGUUAGCCGGCUGAGGAGGACUUUGGUGGAGGACAGCCCUCAAUAUGAGACACAAAUAGAAGGCGGAACCUGACUUACUUACAUUAGAAAUAAAAAAGUGAAUGAAUGAUAUUUUUUUCAUUCUUGGAUGUAUGUUUAUAGACAUGUAUGUUUAACAAACAAUAUACCUGAAAAGAAGAAAAAAAAAUUGUCUCCAUGAACACAAAAUUUGACCAAACCUGACAAGACAGAUUCUUGUCACUGCGCUGAUUAAUAUUUUCGGCACUGAACGAUUACAAUCCAAAGCUACUUUAGGAUUUAAAACAGCACCGCCGUUACAUUAGCAGCAACUACCGAGCUGGAUGCCGCAGUAGUUAGUAGCGUAGUUGUAUCAUAGAUUAGUAUAAGAUAAGUAUCUGGUCAGUUUCUACAACCCAAAUAAGGAUCCGGGGCAAAAACCCCAGAUUCCCCAACUUGGCGUGACGUGAAGCACGUGUGACUCUUGAGAGCAAGUAGAAGGAAAAAAAAAAGAAAACCUUUCCCAACAGGGAGUUGACAUAGAGGGGGAAAAAAUCAAGAUAGGGAUAAGUUGGGAUCAAAUUAACAGAGUGAUUUCAGUGACAAACAUAGCCGAGUGAGAGAGCCACAGAGUGGAGGAUUUGUAAUAGAGAGAUAGAGUGGCAGAAUAACAAAGAGGAAGAAUAACAAUGGUGCCAAAGCCUCUUCCAUCCUCCUUGCAAACGUCCCUGAUCUCCCUCUUUUCUCUCAUUUAAAUUCCUCUCCAUUGUCAUUGCAAUCCGGGCCUAACCCCCCACCGCCUGGCAAAUACACACACACGCGCGCGAGCGCAAACACACACUUAAGAGCGCACACGCAUUGACCUCCGGCAACAACCGGGGCCGUCCCGAGGAGCCGAGCUCACACAUCUUGGCUAAUCAAUGCGCACACAUGCUGGACACUCACAAUGUUCGCAGGAAAAGACACAGUAGAAUCAAGUGCAGUCCCCUCGGACCAGCGGGCUUGGGUCAGCGUGACCUCGCCGUGCUCACACGGGUGUGGAAUAGCAAGGACUUGUCACCAGUCCCGUGUCAAACACAAGGCCAACGCAACGCUCUCUGCUGCUUUGUCAACAUGCGCCGUCGAUACAGCCGGCCUGACUUCUACUCCUUAGUUCCUAUUCCCUGGUCAGCGGCGCUUAAGACGCCAGAACGCCGGCUUGUCAGCAUCUGUAUCUGACAGAGCAGACAUUCUGCUCUUAACAGCAGCAACAGGAAAAAGAAUAAUGUCUUGUCAGCGUGAUCGGGACACGGCUGGGUUAAUACAAUUCCUCGACUUAUCCCCCUUGUCAGCCAUUCUAGGUCACAGCGAAUGGCAACCGGCGCCGUGUAUGUAGAUUUGCCUUGUCAAUGUGCAUAGCAACGUGUAGACUCAACAACGCCCGGGAAUAUGCGAGAGCGGCCUAAAGGAUGCCCAGUGUGCACAGUCAAGACAACACUGAGGUUGUAUUGUGCUUUGCUCUCACUCGUGUCAGCAAUGCUCGGUCAGACAUGGUAAUCAGUGGUCCUCAUUCUGUCCUGGUUGUGGAACACACUACAUGCUUGUGGUGUCUCGGCAUUUCAAAUAUAAGAAAUGUAGUGAUUGUUUUAAAUAUGAGUGAAAUUCUACAAUUCUCCCAAACAAACUUGAUACCAAAAGGUACAAAACAGGAUCAAAAACUCCAUAUAUUUGAAUGCAAACAUAUCAAUCAUUCACGAAAUGAACAAAUAACGAGGUUGUUAUUUAGCUUUUCCAAAGGUUUAGGAAAUAGACCUUGGACGCAUCACAAUUCAACCUCUGUUUCUUAGCCGUUGGCUCUUUUAUGUGACCAAGUAGCACCUUGCCGCUCACCUGCUGCUAAGCGCUAACGUAGCUCUCCUCCUGCAGGAUUUCAACACGCAUGUCUUGUUAUACAUUGAGAAACGAGUGUCUUCACAUUUUCAGGAUCUCAUCCUCAGUCUUUCAGACUUAAGUAUCCGCCGUGGCGGACGGCUCCAUACCGACCUCCUACUUUUCGGCAUUCCUUGUUCUGACCGCACGCCUACAAUCUACAACCAUGGCCUUGAUUUUGAUCUCAGCGACAUACCUAUAAUGUUUCACACACACUCAUAAAUCAUCUUUUUUUUUAAAUGCGUUGUACUGCAAUAACUUCAUGUUUAAAAAAAUCUCUCUGAGCUGAAGUAGUUUUCUUUCACUAUUAUCUCAUUUACUUUUCAAAAGUGGGUUAUGUCAAAAAAAAAGAAAAUCCUAGUAACAGCUGCCUCAGUCUGACGAUGGCUAUUAAACUGUUAAGGGCUAAAUUAAAGAUGAGAUAAUUCAAAAAGGAACAAAAACAUAUCCUGCUGUUUAACAACAUGAGUGACAUUUAGGGUGAUAUUAAAUCCAUUACCAUGAACUGUCUCUAAGGUGUAAUAUACAGAAAAGGCUUAAAAACAACUUGUCAUAAUUGUAAAAAAAGGAAAAUCGAUCCAUCCCAAACUGCCUUUGCAAAGUAAAUCAGGCACAUGUAGAGGGUACAAAUCAGUGGGGAUAUAAUCCUAAAUAGCCAAGUGUGGUCAGGGUUGUGUGUGUGUGUGUGUGUGUGUGUGUGUGUGUGUGUGUGUGUGUGCCGUGGGAGAGGCGGAGAGAGACGGGGUGUGUGGGUGUUAAGGAGAUUCUGGCGACAAGGCGAACCCCAGGGAUCAAAAAACACACAGUCUCCCAUUACUGACGACCCCACACGCAGACACGCUGUGCAAGUGUACAUGACAUGGUGGUGUCUACUAAGCAAUUUGCCGACACGAAUGCCAACAGAGGCCCGACGGCAGGACGAGUGGUAGAGUGCGACAAGGAAAGAUAAAAGAAAGGCUGUCAUCGUCCCGGGUUAUCUUACAGGUGCAUCACUUCAUGGAGGAUUCUCUGAACCCAUCUGAUCGGGGUUCAAAUCUGGGAUCUGUUGUCAUUUCAAUUAGUUCAUUUGACCUCGGGAGUUAAACAACAUUGAGUUCAGAGCGGCGGAACCACUUCGUUCUCGUCCUUCACCACCUCCGAAAGCCUCACACGGACACAAAGAGCGAAUGCAGUGUAAACUACAUUUUAGCUCACUCUGUACUCUCCAUUUAAAACGAUGCAUCCAAGAGUGAUGCGCAAAUAAAAAAAGAGUCGGAUCAAAAGGGCUGAAUAGUCAAUAAAAACUAUUUUAGGUGCUCGAGGCAAACAAAUGAAUAAUGUUGAAUCUUUGAUAGACUCUACAGAGUCUCAGUCCCUUGAGUCUUCCCUCUUUCUUAUUUAACGUUUUUCCGAAUCUCAUUAGUUUGUUUAUACUGCUUAAGCGGUAUGACAUACGCUUUGCUUGCUGCGAGGCCAACGUCCUGACGGGGGAGAAUAAAUUCUAGAGGAAAAAAAACUGUGCAUUACACCUGUUUGUCAGUAGAAGCCCGAGGCUUCGGCAGGCGUGUGUCCUCGUUUUAGAUCCCCAAACCAGCUCGUGUUGGGGACGUCUGUUCUGGCUGGGGGGGAGCAAAUGAGUAAUGCCCUUCCCUCCCUCAUCGGCAAUAAAAGUUGCCCUAGAAGCAAGGCCCUUAACCCCAGAUUCCCGCGGUGCAGCUGCUGAGCCAGCAACAAUUUGCAUUCGCUAAUUCUGCGUGCAUACAUCAUCCGUCAUUCAUGUUUAAAAGAAAGACCUUUAAGGACCGGACGCAGACAUUUUAUUUAGUGGGAGGCAUUAAACCGUAGCUUCAGGUCUGUGUGCGUUAAUAAAAGUGUGUAUACAUACCAUUAGUGUUCAAAGCAUUGCGGCACGCAUGGACUUCCCUGUAUGUAACCCUAGAGUCCUGAGCUGUCAGCGUGAAUGCAUGGCCGCGCCCUCCGUGGAAUCUGGAUAUCGCUCUACGUGUGUGUCUGCUGCAUCUGCCCAUGUCCUGUACCGUUGUGGCUGUGUACACUUUUGUGACACGUGCGUCUCCUGCGUGCCCACAUGUCUGAGGUUUCCCCUCCACGAGCGCCGACAUGUGUGCGUCCCGCUGGCGUUUCUGGACAGAGGAAUUCUAUCCGCCUCCACAGAGUCCUUUCAUCGCCCGCCACACACACACACACACACACACACACACACUGCUGCUGACAUGGGCAUGUCACCACGGCAACCAGAUAUGGCCGGAGACGUGCUACUGACAGAGAAGCAGACCACCAUACUGGUGGGCCACAGGUUCUCGUCGGGGGGGGUUCAGGUCGGCCGGCAGGGUUGGCAGCAUGUGAAUUUUCCAACAGUAUUCUUAAAUUCAAACGCAUCACCUGAGUAUUGAGAAUCUCAGUUCUGAUUCAAAAGGACAGAAAUGUGAUUUCAUACACUGCCUGCCUUGUUCCCAAAUAUUCACAACAGCUUGCACGGCAUUGAGGCUUCUCACACAUAUGGCUACCAUUAUUGAUUUGGCAGAGGGAGUCCCCUUUCAUGUGAUGGCAAAACAAGCCUACAAUAUUGUACAAAUUCACCGCUUUAAUGUUUUAGCAGGGGAAGUAGAGUUAUGUCUAUCAACACGGAAAAUAAAAUGGGUUUCAUGCCCUCCUAAAUUCUGAGAAGAGUACUCAGCACGGAUAAAAGCAGCACAUGAGGUCUGAAUACAACGAGAGAGAAACUGAGAGGAUGAAAAACUAUUGAGUUACAGCAGGGUUUUUUUUUUAUGGAGCAAAGAGAUACAGGCGGUCUUGUGUUCUUACCUUGGACAAGACGAAACGUCAGCGUGAUCUUCCUCGUCACCCUGUCAAAGACAAACAACAGUUAGUCAGGGCAGAAGAUUAAACAGUCAAAAAAGGAGUUUUAUUUUUCCAAAGUGACUAUUGCUUUUCUUUUUAGAUAUCUGCCCCGGUUGUUGCGACCAGACAGCGACCUAUGUUUUUAAAGAGGGAUGCCAAUGUGGAAGCGCCUUAAGCAUUCAAACUAAUGUCCAUCGUUUUCUCCUCUGGUUGCAAAAAGAAGUCUGAAUGCAUAGGAGCCGAAGAGAAAAUGACACCACAUUUCACUUGAUUUAUUACCUCAAUAAACAUUGUGAACAUGACGUCUCAUUCAGUGGUUUACUUAGUUAAUGACGGCCCCAUUUAGACUAAGUGGGACCAUAAAGCCGGGUUGGCCUGAGGGCGUGGCUAACUUGUGAUUGGCAGGUUGCUACCACGGCUUUUUCCAAUAUGGGAGACGUCUGUGUUUUUGACUUUCAACUCCUUCAUUGAAUGUUCAUGGUUUUAGUAAUGAUAUUUUUAUAGUCUUAUAGAAGGCUCGGUUUUAGUCGCCCGCUCAUGUCACUUAUGGUUGCAAAAGAUGCUGACCGCCCAAAUGUGAAACUGAGGCCCUUACAAACCAACGGCUGUUGUUACGGCAACCAUUUCCAAUUUUUAUAGAUGCUUUACGUUGUGUCCCCAUUGAGAAAGAUCAUCUCUGCUGAUAUUUUCAGCAUAAUUCAAAAGCCACAGUAAUAAACUUUAACUGGUUCAAAUUGGUGAUUCUAAAGAGAUACUACUCUGCUUACAAAAAUCUAAAUGUAAUGAACUCCUAAGGUUCGAUCCACACCCGCUUCCCCAGCCUCAUCCAAUAAGCAAUAUUUCUUCAAUCAACAUACCUCUCCCUUUUAUUUUAUACCCCAUUCUAUAAUGGUGUUCAUUUAUUCAGCAAUGUGGAAGUCGGAACAUAAAAUGCAGCCUUAUCUACUCGGUGCAUUGGUUCCUCCAUGGCUCCCUCCUUCCACCUGGUUUCCCUUCUCUCCCCCUGCCCAUCAGUCGGCAGGCGGGGACAGGUGAGCCUAUUACACGCUUUUUCACACACUGUCUAUUACACACAGUCAUAGGUUCACGCACAAAACCCCAACUAGCUCGACUUCAUGGCAAGUUACAUUUGCACGCACAUCACCCGAAGCUGCCGUGCUGUAAAGCGCCUGUUACCACAGCCGCGUCACGCUCACGAUGAAGUGAUCUAGUGGUGCGCAUAAAAGCUGCUAAAAGAAAGAAUUAGAUACCAGUGAAUGGAACAGGAGAAGAAGAACUGACUGCUAACGUUACGUGUGAUUUCGUCAACUUUUACAAUGAGUGGAACGCAAGGACAACAAGCAUGAGAGUGCUAUUAUUACGCUCACUUUCCCAAAGUAAAAAAUAUUCAUUCACAAAUACUUCAGGUCCAAACUAACUGACAACAAAUAGGAAGCAAACAGUCAGUCAGUACUGCUUUUCCCUACAAUAUACAAUUAAAAUUUAAUGAUUUACUUAAUAGAGAUUGAAAAAAAUUCCAUAGAUUUGCCUGUAAGAGGAGACGUUUCACCAGCCAUCUGAAGGUUUCGGUCAAAGGCCCAAAUGGUAACAAGUAUGUGCUCUCGGCUUAAAGUGAUGAUCAGCGAACCAGCAAACAACUCACCGUGCUGCAUUAACUACGGCGAGAGCAUUAAAAGGCAGAAAGUUUAUACAUUUUUUCCAUAUUCCCUCCUCCACCGUUUCGCCCUCUCCCUGCAUCCUGUCGUGUCUCCUUUCAUUUUCCACCAGAUAAAUCUGACCUCAGAAUGGUGGAUUUUUUUGGGGUUGUUUUAUAUUUUGUUCUUAUGCAGAGUCAGGGCAGCUUAUCUCAGUUUGUCAAGAGAGAGAGAGAGAGAGAGAGAGAGAAAGAAAGAGUGGUAUCACAUGAAACAUCACGGUUAAGAUGCUCACAUUCGGUCUCGGUCCCCCUUGCCGUUCUUGUGUAUUCGCCUUUCCAACUAUGUGCCUCUACGUCCUCCAGACCUUGACACCAGCUAUACUUUUCCAAUUCAGCAGUUCCUUAACUCUCUUGAUGACAACAGCGCCUUUAGCAGCAGCGCAGAGCACAUAAAUGAUCACAAUACUAAACAAAAAAGCAAAAAUAGUACCAAAGAAUAACCUUAACAGAAGCAGGCAAAUCAAAAAUAAAUCAUUAUUUAUGCGGAGAUCGGAGUGUACGAGAAAGAAACACCCGAGUAGUGAAUAAUGGGAAAGAGCUAAAUAUACAGUAGCUACUACAGAGAGAGGAAUUAAAUUAGAUGAGAUGUUAAUGCAAACAGUGAGUGGUAAUUACACACUCAGCAUGUGUCUUUCCAACACCCCCGCUCCCUAAAUCCUUAUCUGUAGACAUCCAAACGCCAUACGUAUCAUUACUUGAUAAUGUCAUCCGUCAUAACACUAUGUCAGCCCAGCGUGGAUGUUUUUUUGCUCUUCCUUGAUUCAUUUUACAAUCAUGGCUGUAGGCUACAUCUUGAUUCAGGAAACUCCACCCAACUGAACAUCUGUCUCAAUAACGUUUUCAGUAACCAGGGAGUUCAGUUUAUUUGACCCUUUCAAACUAGUGGUUGACAAUUUAAAAAUAUAUCCGCGGUUGGGCUUAAAAUGACGAUGAACAGAUGGAUCCACCAGCAUUAUCCAUCUGUAAUAUAUCUAAGAAAUUGUAUUGACCUAAUUGCGUUCCAAGCACACGUCUCACCUUUUUAACACUUUACAAACUUUUUACAAUUUAUCAAACAACACAAAUUGAGGUUCUCUAAGCAAGAUCCGAGGUUGGGAUCAUUGCUAUUGAUCCCAACGGCUCCCGACAUGGUGACGGCGAGCCACUGGCGACCAGCUAACGAUGGCAAAAGCGUCAAAGGGGGGAAACUACAGCAAAAGGACUGACGGAGCUAAUAGCGUUUACCAGUGGGGGGCCGGUUGCUACGCUUCCAUGCUAAUACUAGAUGCUAUUUUAGGGUUUCCCUUUAGUUAACAGCAUUGCAGGGGCGAUGAGGACGGACGUACCGACAGAGGGACAGAUGAAUGACGGGAGGGUCGGGGGGACGGGGGGGGCGUGGAGACAGACUGACUGACAUCAGUCCUUCCCCCAAUAGAAGGGCAGGGGAAACACUGCAUUAACAGACUUUUACCACCUUACAUGACCGUGUCCCACUGUUUUGUUAUGAAGCUCGUGUGUGGCAGUUCGCCAUGAGUCAGAAAAUCAACAGAUGUUAUUGAUGGGAUUGGAAUUUAUUUGUUUGUCUGUUGGUAGUCUGUCUUUAAAGCACAAAACAAGCUCCAUCCACCUGAUGGACAAAACAUGCAGUGAUUUCGGUCGUGCAAAACGGUACACGCCUCGUUGAAGGUCUGAACCGAAUGAGGGAUGACGAGACGCUAGCGCUUUAAAACAUGCCCUUGCACAAACAAACUAAAAAUAAAAAGGCAGAAAAUUAAAAGGUUACACCGGCAGGGGAACUACUAUAAAUCAGUGGGCUGAAAGGAGUCAUAGGAGCCACUGAACUGCACACGGCAUGAAAUCCAAUGAGAAUCCAGCCAGCAGCCUCCCAAUACCGCCCUUCUUCUCUGUUUCCCUGCCUGUUCUCUUUAAGCCACGGCUAUUCUUAGCGAGCAAGGGGAUCGGGUUAAGAAGAUGAAGGCUGAAAGAUCACGGAGAGACAGAGAAUUUAACUAAGAGCACAGUGACCGGCGAACCCGCUGACGACGGGUCAACCCGCCUGUUUAUUUGGAGAAUUUGUUCGCCGGCCAGAGUGAACAUUCAAUGGAAUACAUUAUCUUCAUGCAUCACAGCAGAAAUCUAACGGAGGAGAGAAAGUCUCUGAUAUAUAAUUAAAGAUUCAUUUCUUUUGUAAAAGUGCAGUUGAAUGAGGACAAAGUGGAAGAGGAAGCAGGUAAAGCCGAGGCAGAAUGUCAUAAAUAAGUAACUGUUUUGGCUAAAGACAGCACAUUAUCUGGCCCUUUUUAGUUGUUCAAGGGAAUAGCGGUUAUCUUGAAAUACCAUCUGAAUGGGGCCUGAGCAAAUAUCUGUUAAGUCACAACAGCGACCGAAGAAGUAAUACUAAAACAGUGGAAAGGAUUUGGCUUUUAGGAUGUCAGAGGUUAAGAGAGCAAAGCGGCGCCAGAGAGUUCAGACUGUAAGCCUCAUGAUCUGCUUCAUAACUGUCAUCUGACAUCACUACAGCAGAUGCUUUAUCUCAGAUCCUGUUCCCGAGGCCCAUUCUAAUGUAAUGGCCAUGGGUCUGUGUCACACUGUAAUGCAAUGAAAACAGAGAGGACAAAGGGGCAAUAGGCCGAGAUGGUUUGGCCCGGCCCACACCAUGAAGAUGGGGUUUGGGUGAGAAAGAUCCAAACCCGAAGACUGCAAUGUGCAUGUAGAGCAGGGCAGGAUCCCGCUGCAGGAAUAACAGCACGUUAUGUACGAAACCUUGUCCAAGUGUGUGUGACGGAGACGUGUGAAAGCCUCAUUAGGCGACACGUCUUUCCUGAGGCGGAGGCGUGCUUUUGAAAAAACAUUUUGUGUUUCCAACUCGGGUGUAGACUAGUUAAAGUGACACACUGCUGGAUGUGUACAGCAGUGUGUCACUUUAACUAGUCUACUGCUGUACACAUCACCCUGACUGCAUGUGUCACUUGUUAGCAGUUGAGAUCGACCUGCUGCAAAUGUUUCUCCUUUUCCUUCUUUGUAAUAGUCAGCAUGCUUAGUGUAGCUUAAUAUCUAAAUGGUUUUCCAUUCAUUGAUUGUCCAAAUAAAACCCUCAUUUGUGUCUUGGGUCAAUGUGACUGAACUAUGGGGCUUUACAGACACAACGGGAAGAGGUACCCUUUUAAAACUGUGUAUUAAUUGCUGGUGAAUACAAAAGAUUGGUUUAAACUAUUAUUUAACCAGUAUUUAAUCCCAGUGAGGAAAAAUGUGCCUAAAAAAAGUAAAGCAAAAAUAUUCAGAAUGUCAAGUGGACUUCAUCCGUAACUCUGAAAGACAAUAAUGUCCACAUUCGAAUCGUGAAGAUUGUUAUGAAAUAAAAAAUGUUAAGGGAGGAGGGUGUUGAUGCGUUAAUAUUCAUGGUGUGAAUUAUGAACCGUCGCCUCAACACGAGAAAAUAAAACUCUUUAAAUGGAGUUAUAUCUCUAUAUCUAUUUUUAUUGACUAUUCCGGCUCGUAUCUAAUUAUUAUAUCGUGCCUUUUUGAAAUGCCUGGAUAUAUACGGAUGAGGGAACUAAAUGAAGAAUGUCAAAAGUGGGACAAAAACAAUGUCAUUGUAAAAGCUAGGAGAGAAAACACCACAUGAUCGCAAGCAGAGAAAAAAAAUAACGAACCUUGAAGGCAGUGGGUCAGACGGAGAGAGAGUUAUAGCCCAGAGGGGGUCUCUGAAGAUACUCACUCCUCUCUUUAAAGAACGCUUCCACCUCUGCACCGCCAGAUGUAAAUGCAGCAAAAGCGGGAGGGAGGCAAGAACGGCGAGGGGAAGAAGAGAAACGUGCAGAAAGUGUUCUCUCCUGUGGCAGACUGGUAACAACUGUCUGACAUCCAUCUGGUUUCAGAUGGCAAUGCGAGGGCGAGAGGGAGAAAGGAGAGGAGGGAUACAAGGUUAAUGAAACAAAAGGCUUCAUUUAAUAGAUGGAGGAGGACGGCCGCUGACAGUUUGACAAAGAUGGUCAUAUUUAGUGAGAGAUGGAGAGAGAGAGAAGGGGGAGGUCUUGGGAGGGAUAAAUGUUGUGGGAGACGGAAGGAAGGAGGAGCGCUGAGAGCAUUUGACAAAGAUCGUUUCGCUUGAAAUGAGAGUAAAUGGGAAGGAUCGAGGCUGCGACUG